UUGUUGUUAGUAGUUUGUAGUAGUGCUUCUUGCCCUCUUCCGUGCCAUGCCUUGCUUGAGUUUAUCGGAGUUGUGUAGCCGUAGUUGUCGGGCGUAGUAAAUGCUAUGUGGCUGAUUUUGGCAGAUUGUAGUCAUUUCUUGUAUUGCUCGUAGUUUUUGAACCGUAGCCCCGAUUUGAUCGUGUCCUAUAUGAAACUUGCUUAGAAUCUCGUGUAGUUUCAUUUUAUCUUGUUGG
rnacentral:lncRNA from 1 species